AUACGUAGGGGGCGAGCGUUGUCCGGAAUGAUUGGGCGUAAAGGGCGCGUAGUCGGCGCGGUAAGUCUGGAGUGAAAGUCCUGCUUUCAAGGUGGGAAUUGCUUUGGAUACUGCCGCGCUUGAGUGCAGGAGAGGUUAUCGGAAUUCCCGGUGUAGCGGUGAAAUGCGUAGAGAUCGGGAGGAACACCAGUGGCGAAGGCGGGUAACUGGACUGCAACUGACGCUGAGGCGCGAAAGUGUGGGGAGCAAACAGGAUUAGAUACCCUGGUAGUCCACACUGUAAACGAUGAAUGCUAGGUGUAAGAGGUAUCGACCCCUUUUGUGCCGGAGUCAACACAAUAAGCAUUCCGCCUGGGGAGUACGGCCGCAAGGUUGAAACUCAAAUGAAUUGACGGGG
rnacentral:rRNA from 1 species